UACGAAGGGGGCUAGCGUUGUUCGGAAUUAUUGGGCGUAAAGGGCUCGUAGGCGGCCAACUAAGUCGGAUGUGAAAUCCCCAGGCUUAACCUGGGAACUGCAUCCGAUACUGGAUGGCUUGAAUCCGGGAGAGGGAUGCGGAAUUCCAGGUGUAGCGGUGAAAUGCGUAGAUAUCUGGAGGAACACCGGUGGCGAAGGCGGCAUCCUGGACCGGCAUUGACGCUGAGGAGCGAAAGCCAGGGGAGCAAACGGG
rnacentral:rRNA from 1 species